ACCCUUGACAUCCUCGGAACUUGUCAGAAAUGACUUGGUGCCUUUGGGAACCGAGUGACAGGUGCUGCAUGGCUGUCGUCAGCUCGUGUCGUGAGAUGUUGGGUUAAGUCCCGUAACGAGCGCAACCCUCGUCCUUAGUUGCCAGCGGUUCGGCCGGGAACUCUAAGGAGACUGCCGGUGAUAAACCGGAGGAAGGUGAGGAUGAUGUCAAGUCAUCAUGGCCCUUACGGGUAGGGCUACACACGUGCUACAAUGGGCAGUACAAAGGGUUGCCAAACCGCGAGGUAAAGCCAAUCCCAAAAAGCUGCUCGUAGUCCGGAUUGGAGUCUGCAACUCGACUCCAUGAAGUUGGAAUCGCUAGUAAUCGCGAAUCAGAAUGUCGCGGUGAAUACGUUCUCGGGCCUUGUACACACCGCCCGUCACACCAUGGGAGUGAAUUGUACCAGAAGCGGGUAGG
rnacentral:rRNA from 1 species